rnacentral:piRNA from 1 species
CUGUUUUACUCGCCUCACUUUUGA